UACAGAGGUCUCAAGCGUUGUUCGGAUUCAUUGGGCGUAAAGGGUGCGUAGGCGGCGCGGUAAGUCCGUUGUGAAAGUCAAAGGCUCAACCUUUGAAUGCCGAUGGAUACUGCCGGGCUAGAGUCCGGAAGAGGCGAGUGGAAUUCCUGGUGUAGCGGUGGAAUGCGCAGAUAUCAGGAGGAACACCGAUAGCGAAGGCAGCUCGCUGGGACGGUACUGACGCUGAGGCGCGAAAGCGUGGGGAGCGAACAGG
rnacentral:rRNA from 1 species